GCCAAAUGAUGUAAAACUUCAACUGAAAAACCAUGUGGUUAUCAAAUAUACGAGCUUUUUAACACUGAUUGGCC